UCUCCGUCCAUACCUAACAAUUCCUUAAAUAAAAACGUCCACGUUUAUCAUUUUUCAAUCAACUCACUGUUACUCCUUUAUCUUUUCUCCGAUAGAUAAAAGCCAUUAACCAAACAUUGGACAACACACUUUGAUAACACCUUAUUUGUUCCGAAUGUUGCCUACGAUAAUAAAUCCUCGUUCAAUCUUCACUCUUGCAAAUACUUCAAUUUCUCUUUUUCCAUCUAAUAAACCCACCACCUUCAUUCGUUGCCAGGCCGCUGCUGACCCACCAGCCGGCGGCCCCUCGUGGUUCAACUUCGGGGCCGCCGCCAAUGCCGCAGCAGCACCUGGGGUUGGCAGAAUUAGCCAAAACUCCGAUGAAAUUGCUGAUAAGAGAAUUGGGAAUGAUAAGAAGACGAAAGUGAAUGCUAAGGAAAGGCGUUGGUCACGUAAUAGAGAGAGUUAUUUGGGUGAUGAUAGAGAACCUCUUCCUCUUCCUAUGACUUACCCUGAUACUUCUCCUUGUUCCCCUGACGAAAUCGACCGCCGCCUCCGCUGUGAUCCUAUUAUUGAGGAUUGCAAGGAAGUCGUCUAUGAGUGGACUGGAAAAUGUCGGAGUUGCCAAGGGUCAGGACUUGUUAGUUACUAUAACAAAAGGGGGAAGGAGACCAUCUGUAAAUGCAUACCUUGCGCUGGAAUCGAUGUUCCUGUUUCUGCUGGAUCAAAAGAUCAAUAUCACCAUAUGAUGUUAUGAUUUUUCAAGCAGCAAAUUUGAUGAGCCUUUACAGUGACUUGGAAUGUCAAAUUUCAUAUAUCAUUUAGUUUCCUGAAGAUGAAUGAAAAGGAGGAGGAUUGUAUUUCUGUACUUUCUGGAGAAUUACUUUGAUUGUAAUGUGAUUUUAGGGUUAUGUGCAGAAAAUAACACUACGCACGGAUAUUGAUGUGAUGGUGGACUUGGAUGACAAACCACCUUGACAAAAGAAUACUCGUACCAUUUUGUUUAUACCAGUAUACAUUAGGAAGCUUUAAAGAGACACUUAACUUCACGGAAUUGUUGUAUUCUUUGAGGAGCAAAGUGCGGGCCCAAUACUAAACCAAUUUUCUUAAGUCAAAUAAAGGACAGAUUCUAUACAUCCGUAGCAGAACAAACUACCUUCGGAGAAAGAGAUGAGGCGGUUGGAGCAACUGAGCAAGGAUCUCGAAUGUAUUUGUAGCUUAGCUUUUUCACUUCAGCUCUUUCCUUCUUGGUUCUGAAAAUGUUUUUAUACGUUUGGUUGAGAAUCUUGGUUGCUUUAACAAGUAGUUGAGGAAUAAAAAAUAUUCCUCCUUA